GAGAGACAUAAAAGGAGAGGUCGCUUACGUCCACCUCGCAGCGCUCGCCAGCAAAGGCAACAUCACAGAGGCACUGGAAUUUGUUGACAGGUCACAGAUUGCCUGAAGCCAUUGACCAACUCCAUUUUAAGAAUUCCUGUAUGAGGUGAAGCGUUGAAGAAUUUCUCUGGGAAAAGUAGAAUCAUAUGGAUAAGAGCUGAACUCCAGUUGCCCUGCCAAGACUUGCUGCUCCCUAUGUAAUAAUUCAUAGCUUCGAAGAAUGCAAGCCAAAUGCUGUCCAGGAGCUUUGUAUAUAGUACACGAUGGUAACUGCAUGUGAAUUCAGAGUGUGGCUCUCUGGUAUGGCAACAAAGCUUUACGUGUUAAAGAAUCCUUAUAAAAGGUGGAACAAGUAUUAGAAGCUAAGCAGAACUUCACUGUAAGACAAAAUCUAGUAGUGUGAAGGGACUGAUGUUUAAAAAGAAUUUAAUAGUGUUGCUUAGGCCCUUUGACCCACUGUGUACGUGCAUGGCAUCAGAUAACUAAUAAAUAUUCAGGAAGUGUAAAAUGAAUUGAAUUUUGCCCCUGUUGUGUGUGCUGCAGCUAAUGUGGAUAGACUAGCUAAUAUGAUGCUAAGUGUGUCUCUUCCCACAAGAGCUAAUCAAUUCUACUUUAAAAAGAAGAUAUCAUAAAGACUU